UAUCCCUUUAGUUGGUUGAGCAUUGCAUUCACAAUGCAAAGGUUGUGGGUUCAAAUCCCAAGGAAAG